AUAAAGCCCGACAUUUUUCGUUAAAACGUACAAAUUAUUUCACUGCUGGUUGACUGGCUGCGGCGUAUUUUACUUUGAAAAUCUUAGACGGAAGCAGCGAGCGUUUUUUGCGCUAAAGCGGCUUGGAGCGCGUCGGCUCGGCACGGUGAUGCUGAGGAGAGAGAGAGCGAGAGAGAGAGAGAGCAUCUCCCCCGGGCGAGGCCGAGCGAUCUGGCGGACGUGUUAGACGCCGCAGAGGCGAUCCCACCUGCGUGCAGGUGCACUUCCGCCCCGCAAAGAUGCUGGCCGUCCCGCCUGGCGGCUCGGCGUCUCACGGCAGACACGGCCUGAGCAGCGGCGCCAAGAAGACGUCGAAAAAGUGCCGCGCGAGACGAAGCAAGCGAGGUCGGCGACGUCGGAGCAAAAAGAGCAACAGGAGCGACAACAAAUGCCAACAACCCUUUUUACCGCCGGAGGCAGAAGAAGGAAACAUUGAAUAUAAGCUCAAGCUGGUCAGCCCCACUCAGUACCGCUUCGAGCAUCUGGCCACGCAGCUGAAGUGGCGUCUGCAGGAGGGUCGCGGCGAGGCCGUCUACCAGAUCGGCGUGGAGGACAACGGUCUGCUGGUGGGCCUGAGCCAGGCCGACAUGGAGGCGUCCAUCGCCACCUUGAAGAAGAUGGCCGACAAGGUGGGCGCCGACAUCACGGUGCUCCGGGAGCGGGAGGUGGACUACGAGCCGGACGCCAGCACGCGCAGGAUCGCCGAGGUUCUGGUGCGGAAAGUUCCGGACGAUCAGCAGUUCCUGGACCUGCGUGUGGCCGUCUUGGGCAACGUGGACUCCGGGAAGUCCACCCUGCUGGGCGUGCUGACGCAGGGCGAGCUGGACAACGGGCGAGGACGAGCGCGUCUCAACCUCUUCAGGCACCUCCACGAGAUCCAGACGGGACGCACGUCCAGCAUCAGCUUCGAGAUCCUGGGCUUCAACAGCAGAGGACAAGUGGUCGACUACAGCCACUCUCGCAGCGCCGAGGAGAUCUGUGAGAGCUCCUCCAAGAUGAUCACCUUCAUGGACCUGGCUGGACACCACAAGUACCUGAAGACCACCAUCUUUGGCCUCACCAGCUACUGCCCCGACUUCGCCAUGCUGGUGGUCAGCGCCAACACGGGAGUGGCUGGUACCAGUCGGGAGCAUCUGGGCCUGGCCAUGGCGCUGAAAGUUCCCAUCUUCGUGGUGGUCAGUAAAGUGGACGUGUGUUCGAGGGGCACGGUGGAUAAAACCCUGCGACAGCUGGAAAGACUCCUCAAGCAGCCGGGCUGUAACAAGGUUCCUCUCAUGGUCUCCAACCCGGACGACGCUGUUGCUGCUGCCCAGCAGUUCGCUCAGUCGGCAUGCAUCACGCCCAUCCUGACAGUGUCCAGUGUGUCAGGAGAAAGUCUGGAGCUCCUCAAAGUCUUCUUGAACGUUCUUCCUCCUCUGAGCAACAGCAAAGAACAAGAGGAGCUCAUGCAGCAGCUGACUGAGUUCCAAGUGGACGAGAUCUACUCGGUGCCUGAGGUGGGCACGGUGGUGGGCGGGACUCUGUACAGUGGGGUGUGCCGCGAGGGCGAGCGCCUGGUGGUGGGGCCCACGGACCAGGGCCACUUCCUGCGCCUGAGGGUGGCGAGCAUCCAGAGGAACCGCUCGGCGUGCAGGCUGCUGAGGGCGGGGCAGGCGGCCACGCUGGCGCUGGGCAACUUUGACCGCUCGCUGCUGCGCAAGGGGAUGGUGAUGGUGAGUCCCAAGAUGAAGCCCACCGUCUGCCGGGAGUUCGAGGCCGCCAUCGUGCUCCUCUUCCACGCCAAGACCUUCCGCCGGGGGUCACAGGUCACCGCCCACGUGGGCAACGUGCGGCAGACCGCCGUGGUCCAGAGCCUCUACGGGAAGGACGAGCUGCGGACCGGCGAGCGAGCCGUGGUGGGAUUCCGCUUCAUCAAACAUCCAGAGUACCUUCGGACCGGCGCCAAGCUGCUCUUCAGAGAGGGCGUGACCAAAGGCAUCGGCCACGUCACCCGCCUGCUGCCUGCGGACCAGAACCACCGGCAGAACCAGAACCCUUACUAGGCUAAUCUGAUCGCGCCAAGAACUUGUGGACGCCAUCUUGGCUCCUUUGAGCACUUUAAAGCUGUCAAUCAUUCAGUCAAGCGUCUUGUCGGGGGCGGACCCUCGCGCAGACCUGUCAAUCAUCGGGAAUAUUAGCAGCGCUACAUGCUAAUGCUAACUGAGGAGGACUCACCCCCAGCAGGUUCCGGGCGACGUAACCUUCGCGGUCGCCGCAUCUCGCCCACCACCACUCGUCCUCCGCCUCGUCUUCCCGCCUCAGCACCGUCACGCACUCGCCUUCCUGGAGGCGGAGCUCAUCGCCACUCUCAGGCUCGUAGUCCCACAGGGCGUAGACCACGCCCCUAUUCAUCACCCCCAUCUUCUCCUGUACGCCUGCACACACAAACACACAUCUAGACCCUCACAUGUAUUAUUGUCACUAAACUACUGGCCUUCCACAAUCUGUAACCCGUGUAAUGAUUUGUGUGUCUGUAUCACAAUCUGUAACCCAUGUACUAAUUUGUGUGUC